rnacentral:lncRNA from 1 species
CUUAGAAAUUAUUAGGAUAAGGUGGAAUCAGAAAAACAAAAUGAUUUAUGUAUCAUUCUGAGUGGUACAAUGAAAAUCUCAACAGAGAAGGAAUAUCACCCUACAAUAUUAGGAUAGGAUGUAUCUAUAGAAGUCUCAAGCAUAAAAUUCAAGAUCAUGAAAAUGAUAUGGAAAAAGGAACAAUCACUAUGCCCCUUUCUCAAAGAGUGAUUGCCUACAACCUUGAUUUCAAGUGGGACCAAGCAAAAAUAGUUAAACAAUUGAAUGACAAAGAGCAAAGGAGAACAGCUGAGUUAUGCAAAUAUAUAGGGAGACAGUAAAAAUAAACAGGUAGUCAACAUAAUCCUAUUAGAGGAUCUUGGCAUAGCAUGGAAAUGGUGUACUAAAAGUAUCAGCCAAAAUAAUUUUUCCUACCAUCAAUAGUAAACAUGCUGACUGACAUUAUAAAAAAUAGUGAUAUACUAUUAAAAAAUUAGUUACAAG